rnacentral:rRNA from 1 species
UACAGAGGGGGCAAGCGUUGUUCGGAAUCACUGGGCUUAAAGGGCGCGUAGGCGGGCCGCCAAGUCCGCGGUGAAAUCCCCCGGCUCAACCGGGGAACUGCCGCGGAUACUGGAGGUCUCGAGGGGGGUAGGGGCAUGCGGAACUGCGGGUGGAGCGGUGAAAUGCGUUGAUAUCCGCAGGGACUCCGGUGGCGAAGGCGGCGUGCUGGACCCCUUCUGACGCUGAGGCGCGAAAGCCAGGGGAGCGAACGGG